CGCGCCACGAGUGGUGACCACGAUUAUUGGGCUUAAAGCGUUCGUAGCCGGUUCAGUAAGUCUUUAGUGAAAUCCCGCAGCUAACUGUGGGGCGUGCUAGGGAAACUACUGGGCUAGGGACCGGGAGAGGUCUGGGGUAUUCCAGGGGUAGGGGUAAAAUCCUGUAAUCCUUGGGAGACCACCUGUGGCGAAGGCGCCAGACCAGAACGGAUCCGACGGUGAGGGACGAAAGCUGGGGGAGCAAAGGG
rnacentral:rRNA from 1 species